rnacentral:rRNA from 1 species
UAUCUCUGUAGAGUCUGCAUAUCAAUAAGCGGAGGAAAAGAAACUAACAAGGAUUCCCUUAGUAACGGCGAGUGAAGCGGGAAGAGCUCAAAUUUGAAAUCUUCAAGGUUCUACCUUGACGAAUUGUAGUUUAAAGAAGUGUUUUUCUGUUAGAUGAGUAGCAAAAGUUCCUUGGAAUGGGACAUCAUAGAGGGUGAGAAUCCCGUAUUUGGUUAUUCAUUCUAGCUUUGUGAUACACUUUCAAAGAGUCGGAUUGUUUGGGAAUGCAGUCCAAAAUGGGUGGCAAAUUUCAUCUAAAGCUAAAUAUUGGCGAGGGACCGAUAGCGAACAAGUACCGUGAGGGAAAGAUGAAAAGAACUUUGAAAAGAGAGUUAAACAGUACGUGAAAGUUGUCAAAAGGGAAGCGUUUGACACCAGUGUUGUUUUUUCCGAAAAUCAAUUACGAAUGGCUUGAUUUUGUGUUGUAUUGACCUUAUCAGCUUUCUUCACUUUUUUCGAGUCUUUCUUAAUGCACUUUUUCGGUUAACAAGUCAACAUCAAUUUCUUUUGUUGUAAAAGAGUAUUCGGAAGGUGGCUUUCUUUUCGGAGAAAGUGUUUAUAGCCCUAUACUUCUACAAUCGGAGAGAUUGAGGUCUGCAGCGUAGAUCCUUCGGGGUUAGAUACACUUUGUGCUAAGUUGUAGCUUUUCAUAGACAACUUGUUGACUAUGUUUAGUCAUGCGGCUUACUCGCUUAUGCUAUUUUACCUACGCUUAGGAUGUUGACUGAUAUGUAGUCGUA